CGAAAGAGAAAGUUCUCAUCAGAGGCUUCUACACUGAAGAAAUCACAGAUGUACAAGGGGCACUGGUCAAUGAGGGCCUAAUCUUUCCAGAAUGCACAAUUUGUUCUGCCUGGUGCCAGCCCAUAUGGAUGCUUGGAAAGCCUGCUUUUUGCUUUUUUCUCAGGUGUCUCACGAAUUGUUUGGCGGGAAAGUUCUCUCAAUACGAUAUAUUACUGACCUUGCAUCUUAACUUGAAACGACACAGCAAAUACCAGAAGGUUAAUGAUUUGGGCUGAAUUAUCUUCACCUCAGACCUUUGAAAAUAUUGUCAUUCAGUUAAGCUUCGAAAAGAUCUAAGCAUGAGCAGAAGUAAUAAAUUGAAUUCUACAAAAUAGCA
rnacentral:lncRNA from 1 species